rnacentral:misc_RNA from 1 species
GAAUUGCGAAAAGUAAUGUGAAUUGCAGAAUUCCGAGAAUCAUCGAAUCUUUGAACGCAACUUGCGCGCCCCGUGUAAGCGGGGGGCAUGGCUGUUUGAGGGUCACGCUAUGAUUCGCGUGCACGGUGCGUGAGCACCGGGUGCGCGGGAGUGAGUUGGGCGGGAGGGACCUUCUCUUCCGGCAGCUUGAAAUACAUGGCAGGCAGUGCUGUGUGGGUGACACAUUGACCGGCGUAGUAGUUCUCUGAGGAGAUUUCACACCGCGCAGGGUCAGUGUGGCGCGUAGGCAGUGCAGCGUGCGGGAGCGAAAAAGUGGAGCGGGGGCGCACCGCACCCCCCUCCUCCCAUGUGACCUCAAAUCAGCCAAGAUUACCCGCUGGAUUUAA